rnacentral:rRNA from 1 species
AUGGCGUCCAAGGCAUUCCCUGCUCUGGUCCUUCUGGCGCUCGUCUGCGGCCAGCUUGUGGUCGACGGCCAUGCCCAGCCCUACACCGGCGGCGGCCGCAUCAGGGGAGGAGGAUCUGCUCCCGGAAUGCAGCCACCGACUUACCCCACUGCCCAUGCCCACUCCUCCACCAUUGGAGAAUACGAUGGAGCUGGAAGGCCUUCAGCCGUGGAAGAAGACAAGGCCUUCAUGGUCAACAGCCUGCCGGCGCACGACCGCCCGCUGCCUGUCCCGCCUUCCGCUCACUAG